UUAACUCUAUUUAAAGAGAACCCACCGACUGGGUAUAACUCAUUGUCUUUGCAUCGUCACACCUGAUCAACUGCUGAAAUUGACUGACUCGAAGAACUGACCACCAAGAUGAUGAUGAAGACUGUAAUCUUUCUGGGCUGCCUCCUGGGCCUGUCAUUGGCUCUUCCUGCUGAUGUGGAUCACUUGAGAGUUGCACGUUCCAGCUCUGACUCCAACUCUAACUCAAACUCCAGGGAGGCUGGUUCCUUUCUGCCCUCCCUGCCACAGUUGAAUUCAAAUCAGCUACUUCAACUUCUACUUAAACUGUUUGCUGCCUCUGUCCCAGCACCAGCCCCAGCCCCUAUCCCAGCCCCUGUCCCAGCCCCUGCCCCAGCACCUGCCCCAGCCCCUGCCCCUGCCCCAGCCCCAGCCCCUACCCCAGCCCCUGCCCCAGCCCCUGCCCCUGCACCAGCCCCUGCCCCAGGUGGACGUUAAACAGGUGAAAAGUACUACUUAAACAGUUUUUGGGGGUAUCUGUACUUUACUUUACUAUAUAUAUAUUUCUGACAACUUUUACUUUUGCUUCACAAAAUUUCUGAAGAAAAUAAUGUACAUUUUACCCCAUACAUUGUCCUUGACAUCCAAAAAUUACCUUUUGAAUGCUUAGCAGGACAGGAAAAUUGACAAAUUCAAACGCUUAUCAAGAGAACAUCCCUGCUCAUCCCUACUGUCUCUGAUCUGGUGGACUCACACAAAUGCUUAGUUUAAAAAGAUGUCUGAGUGUUGGAGUGUACCCCUGGCUAUCCGUAAAUAAAGUAAACAAGAAAAUGGUGGCGUCUGGUUUGUUUAAUAUAAGGUUUUUGUAAUGAUUUAUACUUUUACUGUUGAGUAUAUUUGAGCAAUUACAUAUACUUUUGAUACUUAAGUAUAUUUAAAACCAAAUACUUUUAGACUUUUACUCAAGUUGUAUUUAAGUGGGUAACUUUAUUUUCUAUUAAGGUAUCUUUACUUUCACUCAAGUACGACAAUUGGGCACUUUUCCCAACACUGGAUUCCCCAAACAUCAUAAGUACAAUGUAUAUCCCUUAAAUUCAUUAAUUCACUUUUCUGUCUAUCAGGUAUUUCAUGGAACUCCCAGACAUUGUCUAUGAAGUGUGAUUCCUUUAUGCAUUUCUGUUUAAUAAACACAUUCAUAUUUUAAGCUCAA